rnacentral:rRNA from 1 species
AGUGAACGCUGGCGGCAGGCCUAACACAUGCAAGUCGAACGGCAGCACCGUAGGUGCUUCUUCUUACGGGUGGCGAGUGGCGGGCGGGUGAGGAAAACAUCCGAAUCUACUUUUUCGUGGGGGCUCACGAAGGGACACCUACGCCAAUACCGCAUACGACCUACGGGUGAAAGCAGGGGAACUUCGGACCUUGCGCGAAUGAAUGAGCGGAUGUCGGAUUAGUUAGUUGGCGGGGUAAAGGCCCACCAAGGCGACGAUCCGGAGCUGGUAUGAGAGGACGAUCAGCCGGCCUGGAACUGAGACACGGCCCAGAGGCCUACGGGAGGCACCAGUGGGGAAUAUUGGACAAUGGGCGCAAGCCUGAGCCAGCCAUGCCGCGUGGGUGAAGAAGGCCUUCGGGUUGUAAAGCCCUGUUGUUGGGAAGGAAAAGCAGCAGGUUAAGACCGCGCUGUUCUGACGGUACCCAAAGAAUAAGCACCGGCUAACUUCGUG